rnacentral:rRNA from 1 species
GGAGGGGCUCGCGGCCCAUCAACUAGUUGGUGAGGUAAAGGCUCACCAAGGCGAAGACGGGUAGGGGGUGUGAGAGCACGGCCCCCCACAAUGGGACUGAGACACGGCCCAUACUCCUACGGGAGGCAGCAGCAGGGAAUAUUGCACAAUGGACGGAAGUCUGAUGCAGCGACGCCGCGUGGAUGAAGAAGGCCUUCGGGUUGUAAAAUCCUUUUAGCGGGGAAGAGGGAGGACGGUACCCGCAGAAUAAGCGUCGGCUAACUACGUGCCAGCAGCCGCGGUAAGACGUAGGACGCAAGCGUUAUCCGGAUUUACUGGGCGUAAAGCGUCUGU